rnacentral:rRNA from 1 species
UACGGGGGGAGCAAGCGUUGUUCGGAUUUACUGGGCGUAAAGGGCGCGUAGGCGGCCACCGCAAGUCGACUGUGAAAUCUCCGGGCUUAACCCGGAAAGGUCAGCCGAUACUGCGGGCUAGAGUGCAGAAGGGGCAACUGGAAUUCUCGGUGUAGCGGUGAAAUGCGCAGAUAUCGAGAGGAACAGCCUGCGGCGAAGGCGGGUUGCUGGGCUGACACUGACGCUGAAGCGCGAAAGCUAGGGGAGCGAACGGG